UAAAAUUUAAAAGAAUAAUCAAAGAAGAAAUAAAAAUAAAAAAUAUUUGUGGGUUGUCUCCCACGAAGCGCUUUGUUUAAUGUCGCAAGCUCGACAUAAAAACCAUCAAAUAUAAUCUAUAAAUUCUGGAGGCAUUACGUCUAAGUGCAGGACUUGCGAAUCUUCAUUGUUCUCUGCAUAAUGAUAAUGUUUUAGACGCUGCCCGUUUACGAUAAAUGGUUCAAUGGAUU
rnacentral:lncRNA from 1 species